GGAUGUGAGGGCCAUCUGGCUGUGACAUCUGUCACCACACUGACCGCCAAGGCUGAUUCACUCGGCUGAUCUGGCUGGCUAGGCCGGUGUCCCCUGCCUCCCUCACCGCUCCACAGGCGUCCCUCCCGAAGCUGUGCGCUCGCUCAAAGAGGACGGCCUUCCCCCGAAUAGAGACAGACCCGUCUUGGGUCCAC
rnacentral:snRNA from 1 species